CCUACGGGGGGCUGCAGUGAGGAAUAUUGGUCAAUGGGCGGAAGCCUGAACCAGCCAAGUAGCGUGCGGGAUGAAGGCCCUACGGGUCGUAAACCGCUUUUGUACGGGGAUAACACCCUCCACUUGUGGAGGUCUGCAGGUACCGUACGAAUAAGGGUCGGCUAAUUCCGUGCCAGCAGCCGCGGUAAUACGGAAGGCGCGAGCGUUAUCCGGAUUAAUUGGGCUUAAAGGGAGCGUAGGCGGGCGUUCAAGUCAGCGGUAAAAUCGCGGGGCUCAACCGCGCCCCGCAGUUGAAACUGGACGCCUUGAGUUCAGGACAGGCAGGCGGAAUUCGUGGUGUAGCGGUGAAAUGCAUAGAUAUCACGAAGAACCCCGAUUGCGAAUGCAGCCUGCCGGGGUGCGACUGACGCUGAGGCUCGAAAGUGCGGGUAUCAAACAGGAUUAGAUACCCUUGUAGUC
rnacentral:rRNA from 1 species